UAAUAUUCUUUAAAAUGGAAAUCAUACAAAAUGGGCCAAAAAACAAAUCCACAAAAUGGUUAGGGAUUUACCUUGGUGGGCUAAAAGCGGCCCAAAUGGCCAACCAACUACUAGAAGCCCGCGGAUCCUGCUCCCCAAAACGCACCGUGUUAGUCUCCUGCCCAAUAGCCUCCUACUGCCCAAAACGACGUCGUUUAGUGCUUCAGCCAUAGCUAUUUAAACUUCUUUUCUUUUCUCCCUUUUCAUUUUCCCCUCUUACUUUCUCUCUCUACCCACCGGAUCUCUCUCCCUUCUCUCUACCCAAGCCCCCGACCACUCUCUCUCCUCUCUUUCCU
rnacentral:lncRNA from 1 species